rnacentral:rRNA from 1 species
UGAGGAAUAUUGGUCAAUGGACGCAAGUCUGAACCAGCCAAGUAGCGUGCAGGAUGACGGCCCUAUGGGUUGUAAACUGCUUUUAUAUGGGGAUAAAGUGGGGAACGUGUUCCCUUUUGCAGGUACCAUAUGAAUAAGGACCGGCUAAUUCCGUGCCAGCAGCCGCGGUAAUACGGAAGGUUCGGGCGUUAUCCGGAUUUAUUGGGCGUAAAGGGUACGUAGGCGGUCUAUUAAGUCAGGUGUGAAAGCGUGAGGCUUAACCUCAUUAAGCACUUGAAACUGAUAGACUUGAGUGAAGGAGAGGAAAGUGGAAUUCCUAGUGUAGCGGUGAAAUGCGUAGAUAUUAGGAGGAAUACCGGUGGCGAAGGCGACUUUCUGGACUUUUACUGACGCUCAGGUACGAAAGCGUGGGGAGCAAACAGG